GACGAACCGUGCGAACGUUGUUCGGAAUCACUGGGCUUAAAGGGCGCGUAGGCGGGCCGCGAGGUCGGGGGUGAAAUCCUGCAGCUCAACUGCAGAAGUGCCUCCGAUACCGGCGGCCUCGAGGGGGGUAGGGGCGUGUGGAACUUCCGGUGGAGCGGUGAAAUGCGUAGAUAUCGGAAGGAACGCCGGUGGCGAAAGCGACGCGCUGGACCCUCUCGGACGCUGAGGCGCGAAAGCCAGGGGAGCAAACGGG
rnacentral:rRNA from 1 species